rfam:Gossypium raimondii Chr01_contig_14, whole genome shotgun sequence.
UGUUAAAAUUUUCAUCCAUUUCUAAUGUUAAAAGUGGGUAUAGCAGAUGAAAUAAUCAAGCAAUUACACGUGGUGUGCCACAUGAACCUCACAUCGAUGUAUAGAAAGCAAUUUUUAACAGUAGAGAUGGAUGAAAGUUUAAUA